rnacentral:rRNA from 1 species
AGCAGCCGCGGUAAUUCCAGCUCCAAUAGCGUAUAUUAAAGUUGUUGCAGUUAAAAAGCUCGUAGUUGAAUUUCGGGAUCAAUUAAUUGGUCGUGCCUCUGGUACGUACUGAUUUUAUUGGUUUCUCCCUUCUGACGGACCAUGAUGUCAUUAAUUUGGUGUCGUGAAGAAUCAGGACUGUUACUUUGAAAAAAUUAGAGUGUUUAAAGCAAGCUAACGCUUGAAUACAUUAGCAUGGAAUAAUGAAAUAGGACGUUUGAUCCUAUUUUGUUGGUUUCUAGGAUCGACGUAAUGAUUAAUAGGGAUAGUUGGGGGCAUUAGUAUUCAAUUGUCAGAGGUGAAAUUCUUGGAUUUAUUGAAGACUAACUACUGCGAAAGCAUUUGCCAAGGAUGUUUUCAUUAAUCAAGAACGAAAGUUAGGGGAUCGAAGACGAUCAGAUACCGUCGUAGUCUUAACCAUAAACUAUGCCGACUAGGGAUCGGAUGAUGUUAAUUUUUUAAUGACUCA